rnacentral:rRNA from 1 species
UACGUAGGGUGCAAGCGUUAAUCGGAAUUACUGGGCGUAAAGCGUGCGCAGGCGGUGAUGUAAGACAGAUGUGAAAUCCCCGGGCUCAACCUGGGAACUGCAUUUGUGACUGCAUCGCUGGAGCGCGGCAGAGGGGGAUGGAAUUCCGCGUGUAGCAGUGAAAUGCGUAGAUAUGCGGAGGAACACCGAUGGCGAAGGCAAUCCCCUGGGCCUGCACUGACGCUCAUGCACGAAAGCGUGGGGAGCAAAAGGG